rnacentral:rRNA from 1 species
GAUGAACGCUAGCGGCAGGCCUAAUACAUGCAAGUCGAGGGAGAAUGUUGGAUUCGUCUGACAUGAAACCGGCGCACGGGUGCGUAACACGUAUGCAACCUACCUUUAACUGGGGUAUAGCUCAGAGAAAUCUGAAUUAAUCCCCCAUAAGACUACGACAUGGCAUCAUGACGUAGUUAAAGCUCCGGCGGUCAAGGAUGGGCAUGCGGUACAUUAGCUAGUUGGUGAGGUAAUGGCUCACCAAGGCUACGAUGUAUAGGGGGUCUGAGAGGAUGAUCCCCCACACUGGUACUGAGACACGGACCAGACUCCUACGGGAGGCAGCAGUAGGGAAUAUUGGUCAAUGGACGCAAGUCUGAACCAGCCAUGCCGCGUGAAGGAUGAAGGCCCUAUGGGUCGUAAACUUCUUUUAUUAGGGAAGAAAAAACGGGAUGCGUCCUGUACUGACGGUACUUAAUGAAUAAGGAUCGGCUAACUUCGUGCCAGCAGCCGCGGUAA